GAUGAACGCUGGCGGCGUGCUUAACACAUGCAAGUCGAACGGUGAAGGCGGAGCUUGCUCUGCUGGAUCAGUGGCGAACGGGUGAGUAACACGUGAGCAAUCUGCCCCUGACUCUGGGAUAAGCGCUGGAAACGGCGUCUAAUACUGGAUACGAGCUGCGAAGGCAUCUUCAGCAGCUGGAAAGAACUUCGGUCAGGGAUGAGCUCGCGGCCUAUCAGCUUGUUGGUGAGGUAACGGCUCACCAAGGCGUCGACGGGUAGCCGGCCUGAGAGGGUGACCGGCCACACUGGGACUGAGACACGGCCCAGACUCCUACGGGAGGCAGCAGUGGGGAAUAUUGCACAAUGGGCGAAAGCCUGAUGCAGCAACGGCGCGUGAGGGACGACGGCCUUCGGGUUGUAAACCUCUUUUAGCAGGGAAGAAGCGAAAGUGACGGUACCUGCAGAAAAAGCGCCGGCUAACUACGUG
rnacentral:rRNA from 1 species